CCUACGGGAGGCAGCAGUGAGGAAUAUUGGGCAAUGGGCGCGAGCCUGACCCAGCCACGCCGCGUGAAUGAUGAAUGCCUUACGGUUGGUAAAUUUCUUUUAUAAGGGAAUAAAGGCAGACACGUCUGCCUGUUUGUAUGUACUGUAUGUGUAAGAAUCGGCUAACUUCGUGCCGGGAGCCCCGGUAAUACGGAGGAUCGGAGCGUUAUCCGGAUUUAUUGUGUUUGAAGGGAGCGUAGAUGGGUUGUUAAGUCAGUUGUGAAAGUUUGCGGCUCAACCUUAAACUUGCAAUUGAUACUGGCAGUCUUGAGUACAGUUGAGGUAGGCGGAAUUCGUGGUGUAGCGGUGAAAUGCGUAGAUAUCACGAAGAACUCCGAUGGCGAAGGCAGCUUACUAAACUGCCACUGACAUUGAUGCUCGAAAGUGUGGGGAUCAAACAGGAUUAGAUACCCGAGUAGUC
rnacentral:rRNA from 1 species